rnacentral:rRNA from 1 species
UGCCUCGGCGGAUCAGCCCGCUCCCGGUAAAACGGGACGGCCCGCCAGAGGACCCCUAAACUCUGUUUCUAUAUGUAACUUCUGAGUAAAACCAUAAAUAAAUCAAAACUUUCAACAACGGAUCUCUUGGUUCUGGCAUCGAUGAAGAACGCAGCAAAAUGCGAUAAGUAAUGUGAAUUGCAGAAUUCAGUGAAUCAUCGAAUCUUUGAACGCACAUUGCGCCCGCCAGUAUUCUGGCGGGCAUGCCUGUUCGAGCGUCAUUUCAACCCUCAAGCACAGCUUGGUGUUGGGACUCGCGUUAAUUCGCGUUCCCCAAAUUGAUUGGCGGUCACGUCGAGCUUCCAUAGCGUAGUAGUAAAACCCUCGUUACUGGUAAUCGUCGCGGCCACGCCGUUAAACCCCAACUUCUGAAUGUUGACCUCGGAUCAGGUAGGAAUACCCGCUGAACUUAAGCAUAUCA